rnacentral:lncRNA from 1 species
CCUGAGAUGAAAACAUGGCUCUCAAUGCCUUGAUGAGUUGCUAGACUAUUUUGGACCUGCCUAAGCCAGUAUGAGAUUUGUGCACAUCUCUGAUUUUCAGUCCAGUUUUGAAUUGAUAUUCAACAGCCGAGAAGUAGAGACUUACAAUGAAAAACAUCUUUAAUUGAUUCAAAGAUCUGAAGUUCCACAGUCUCUGAAGAAAGGAUAUUUGUAGAGUUCUAUCUGAUCUUUCAUCUGCCCGUGAUUGCUUUUCCUAAUCAAAAGUGGCAAGGUUUUAAGUUAAUUUGAUCAACUUGAACAACGGAACUAUCAGUUCAGUUGGGAAAAAUCAACACAGAUUUUUUUGUCACAUCGUAGAGAAGUCCAUAUGGCAAGUAACAGAGGGCAGUCUUUGAUUAACAGCAAGUGAGAGACUGAGCUCCUCCAUCCAACAACCUUUGAGGAACCAAAUCCUACAGCAACUACCGAGUGAGCUCAGAAGCAGAUCCCUGAGUGAACCUGGAGAGGACGGGGCCCCGCUGAUGCGGUGACUGCAACCUUGCGAGAGACUCCGAGCUGGAGGACCCAGCGAGGCUGCACCUGGAUUCCUGACCCAAUGACGC